UAGAGCUGACCUGAUGAUGGAGAAUAGAGAAGGUCAAGGGAACUCGGCAAUGUUCAGAAGUUUACACGUAGCAGGGAAACCUCUUGAAGUAGGUAAGGUCGGUACUUAAUUGUAUCCGGUGUGGUUCACGUCAAUAGUGCAAUGGGAGGGGGUCAAACUCAAGACCUUUUAAUUACCAGGCAAACUCUUUAACUAUGGUGAUAUUACUAUUCGCAUGUAUAAUGUUAGUAUAUAGUAUAUACCUUGUUUUUUUAUGGUCCUUUAAGUAAAUAAUCUUUAAAAUCAACAUAACCUAUUUUUGUGAAAAUAUGAUAUAUAUAGCUUCUAUACCCCAUAGAUUUCACGCUGGACUUUUUGGCACCAUCAAAGGUCUAUCAUAAUGAACACAUUGGUACCCAUUUCGUUGCUGUCGAUUCUGGGUUUUUUUACUAUGAAAAUUUGGCCAUCUCCUUUAUUGCCAUGUCCUUAUUACAGUUCAAGUGGUAUGAAUGAAUCCGCAUGACAAAACUUUAUUUAAAAACCCUUAAAAAAUUGUACUUACCAGAAUUUUUGUUUUAGUCGUAUUGGUUGGAUGAAAAAUUUUUAUGAAGGAAACCUAAAUUAUUACCUAAUUUCAGUUCUCAUAAAUAUUUUGCUCACUUUAAAAAAAGUAUGGUAACUAUUUCUAUCUUUCGUUUUUUUUUCUUAACUCGGCCUUUACUGUCUUUAAUUAGCUGACCAGCCAAGAAUCCGCUACAUUGUGUUCAGCUCCCAUAGAGCGUUAUAUCUAAAUUACUAAAGAAAGUAAAUAUUUUUUGUCCUUAAUUUAAAGAACACAAUGUAAUGUUUAUUUUAAUAAUACUACAUUUUAUACUGUGCUUAAGCUCAUGUCAGUACCAUAACUAUUUAUUUCACUUUGAGUCUGUGUUCAGCUCCCAUAGAGCGUUAUAUCUAAAGUAUUAAAGAAAGUAAAUAUUUUUUGUCCUUAAUUUAAAGAACACAAUGUAAUGUUUAUUUUAAUAAUAGUAACAUUUCCUACAUUUUAUACUGUGCUUAAGCUCAUGUCGGUAACUCGGUACCAUAACUAUUUAUUUCACUUCGAGUCGGGGGGGUGUCUUUAAUUACUUUUUUAUUACCACGACUGUAUAUGCAAGGGUGGCUUAAUUUGUGGUUCUUGGGCCUUUCUUUCCGGAUAUACGUCGAAUUACAAGUGUAAUAUAGUAUAAGAGAAAAACAAAACCAAUAAAUACUGUAAUAAUCAUCGUUUAUUCCAUAUAAA